GAUGAACGCUGGCGGCGUGCCUAAUACAUGCAAGUCGAGCGAACGGACGAGAAGCUUGCUUCUCUGAUGUUAGCGGCGGACGGGUGAGUAACACGUGGAUAACCUACCUAUAAGACUGGGAUAACUUCGGGAAACCGUAGCUAAUACCGGAUAAUAUUUUGAACCGCAUGGUUCAAAAGCGAAAGACGGUCUUGCUGUCACUUAUAGAUGGAUCCGCGCUGCAUUAGCUAGUUGGUAAGGUAACGGCUUACCAAGGCAACGAUGCAUAGCCGACCUGAGGGGGUGAUCGGCCACACUGGAACUGAGACACGGUCCAGACUCCUACGGGAGGCAGCAGUAGGGAAUCUUCCGCAAUGGGCGAAAGCCUGACGGAGCAACGCCGCGUGAGUGAUGAAGGUCUUCGGAUCGUAAAACUCUGUUAUUAGGGAAGAACAUAUGUGUAAGUAACUGUGCACAUCUUGACGGUACCUAAUCAGAAAGCCACGGCUAACUACGUG
rnacentral:rRNA from 1 species